UUGUGCCUCUUUGAAGUAUUUGCACCGCUAUUUGAUAAGUUCCUACGUGGAACGGAACGUUCCACAGCUGUCAAAAUAAUUUUACAGAACCUAUUGUAAUUGUUUAAGGGUUCAUUGACAUCAUACUCGAAAUCCAAAAAUGCUGCAACGCUCAGAAUUCUUACAGAAUUUAGCUAAAUGUCCAUACCUCAAGCACCGGUAGCAUUGUUUAACUGGUGGUAUAUAUGGAGUGACAUUGUGGCGCCAACCUCCAAUAUCCAGAUAUUCAGGUAAUACAGAUGCAGCAAAAGUAAUUGUCACGGUUAGAGUUGGCUGUAACACAUAUCCAUGAGUCAAGAUUCUGAGUCAGUAGAAGUAUCUUCCGAAUAUAUAUCCUUGUCAUUACAAGGUUCAUGGUCUACAUCACCUGAAUCGUCAUCUUUUUUUUUUCCUUUUUCUACAACUGCGCUUCCCCAUGAAUGCUAAUUAUAUUACUGUCGCUGAAUUUAGUGAAAAUAUAAUAUUUUAUUCAAUAAUAAGAAUUGAUAGAGAUAGUUUUAAUAAAUUAAUAAAAAAAAUUUAAAAAA